rnacentral:rRNA from 1 species
GAUGAACGCUGGCGGUAUGCCUAACACAUGCAAGUCGAACGAAGUCUUCGGACUUAGUGGCGGACGGGUGAGUAACGCGUGAGAAUCUGCCUUCAGGAUGGGGACAACAGUUGGAAACGACUGCUAAUACCCAAUAUGCCUACGGGUGAAACCUUUUUUGGCCUGAAGAUGAGCUCGCGUCUGAUUAGCUAGUUGGUAGUGUAAGGGACUACCAAGGCAUCGAUCAGUAGCUGGUCUGAGAGGAUGAGCAGCCACACUGGGACUGAGACACGGCCCAGACUCCUACGGGAGGCAGCAGUGGGGAAUUUUCCGCAAUGGGCGAAAGCCUGACGGAGCAAUACCGCGUGAGGGAGGAAGGUUCUUGGAUUGUAAACCUCUUUUCUCAGGGAAGAAUAAAAUGACGGUACCUGAGGAAUAAGCAUCGGCUA